UCCAAUGUGGUGUAGUGGCUAACAUUGCUGUCUUUCAUCUGGGUGAAAAAUUACGUGAGGCACAGCAGCCCGGGGUUCGAUUCCCCGCAUUGGAA